rnacentral:lncRNA from 1 species
GUUUCAACCAAAAACGAUGACCAAUGCAGUGCAAAUUAUAAUCAAAUGCAAUGAAGCCGAGUGCAAGACGCUAUGUGAGAAUCAGUACGGUUCGCAUUUACUUAAACAUUAUUGCAAUAAAACACCUUUCGGAGAUAUUUGCACGUGUGUGCAUAGUCUUUUAUCGGGCCGUAAAGGAAAAACCACCGCCGAAACUCCUAUGCCCUUGUUAUGAAGGAAGUUAGAUAAGCAAUAGGGAUAGAUUGAUGAAAGAC